GAGAGAGAGAGAGAGAGAGAGAGAGAGAGAGAGAGAGAGAGAGGGAGAGAAAAUUCAUUAGGCACUAAGAGCUAUUCCUCUCUGGCGAAAGGCUAAUGCAAUUGCCACAAUAAGAGAGUCUCAACGGAGCCUGGAAAAACACUGAGGGGGAUGAAAGAAGAGGAGGGAGGGAAGAAAGGAGGGAGGAGAACUGACAGCACUGCUUCCAGACCCUCAGAUAGACAGUGGAUCUCUUGGGACGAACAGUUGAAAGUCUUUCUCUCACUCUCCUUUUCUCUCUCUCUCUCUCUCUCUCUCUCUCUCUCUCUCUCUCUCUCUCUCUCUCUCUCUCUCUCUCUCUCUCUCUCUCUCUCUCUCUCUCUCUCUCUCUCCUGUUAUUCUGCUGUAAGUGGACGAGCUGGGGCUAUGCAUCUCCAGAGUGAUUCAUUCGAUUGAAGAAAGGAGACAAAACUAGCUAGCUGCCAGUCACCAGCCAGAGGGGUGUGUUAACUAGCUCCAAGUCUGACCUCUCCUCUGCUCUCCUCUUCUCUGUGGCAACCGAACACAGGAUAGGACAACCCUUCUCUCUCUCUCAUCUCUUCUCCUCUCCACCACUGGCUGUGGGAACUGGGAACAAGACCGGUAUAGCCCCCUCUAUACGCCCCCAAAAGAGACCUCGGCACAGGAAAGCCUGAGCUUCUGCUGCUGGAUCUGAAAUGGCACAUUCCUUAGAGCAGUCUUCCCAGAAGGAACUCCUCCACUGACUGCUCCGCUCCUCAGCUGAACUCAGUCAGCUCCACGCGGCACUGCUGGAUCUGGGAGCAUGGGAGGGUCUGACUGGGAGCAGCCUGAGGACACAGGUGGACCACAGUUGGGGACGGGCCAGGGGCCAGGGACGGGCAACCGGCACAGCUUGCUACCAGUCUGGCUGUGGUGGGGAGGGUUCCUGGCACCGUGAUUUGGUGCACAAACAUAAACGAAAAUCACAUUGCCAGGGAUUUCCACUCUUUCACAUAUAGUUCUCCAGGGAGCCAAAUAAUGCUGCUCUAUUACGUGAAUGGUGCCAAACGAUGCGGCUCACGGAAAAGACUCGGAAGGCCCAUAGCUAAUAUGAACACACAUAAUACAUGGCAAAAUGUGUAGAAUUGCAGAACAUUUGUUUAAAACUCACGCCAACAAGAGGAGCAUGUACAGUUUGAACCGUUUGGGGUCGCAUGGGUUGCGAGGUGGCGAUUUCUUACGACACCGAUAACUCACAAUAUCCAUCAAGACCUUUGCAACCUAGGAAAUGUGUGUGAUCGGACCUUCUCAAAUAGAACCCCUGCUAUAGACGAAUCAAUUAAAGUUUCUCCCAACUGUCUGCCAGUGAAAGUCUCUAUUAUUUUCCUCAUUUGCAUCCUGUCAUAAGCAGCCAAUUGCUAAAGGCACAGAGCUUAGCUAAUUGGUGAGCAUUGAUCCCUCUUAUAUGUUGUUCACAGUGGCUAAGUUCAGUGCCUGAGGUGAAAUAGUUGAUGUGGCGGGAUGUGUUCCAAACGAUGGCGAUAAAUGCAAAGAGCACUGGCUGAGAUCUGAGAUGUGAAGAUGAAGGAAGAGGGUGGAAAGAGAGGGACAGAGUUGUGCAGCAGUGGAACGCAGCACGAUCCCCGUAAAGAGCGGAGGAAGGAAGAAAUGCUACUGAGAGAAUGUCUGGCCAGUCUAGGCAUGCCUAGUUCCACUCCACCUCGAUAUCUCUUUCAUGCUGUUCUGUGAGUCACCACUUUUCCUGUAAGUUGGACAAACUUAAAUGGUCCACACCAUACAGAUAGUGUGGUGAAGAAGGCAGCGCCUCUUCAACCUGAAGAAAUGUGUCUUGUCACUCAAAACCCUGACAAACUUUUACAGAUGCACAAUCGAAAGCAUCCUGUCAGGCUGUAUCACAGCCUGGUACGGCAACUGCACCGUCCUCAGCCGCAAGGCUCUCGAGAGGGUGGUCUGGUCUGCAUCAACGGGGGAAAACUACCUAGCCUCCAUGAGACCUACAGGACAACAACCAUCCGAGCCAUUGUCUGUUCACACCGCUGCCAUCCAGAGGGCGAGGUCAGUACAGGUGCAUCAAAGCUGGGACCGAGAGACUGAAAAACAGCUUCUAUCUCAAGGCCAUCAGACUGAUUUCUAUUUGCCAUAUAUUUUUGAACUGUGCUGUGAUGUUUCACAAAAGUUCUGAACCUUUCUAUUCUCAGUUUCUACAGAUUGUCAAUUUAAAGAACAUUUAUUUGCUAAGAGUAUUAUUAUAUUAUUGAUCAAGUGACUAUGACUUUUCAAAUCACCCAGCAGUGCUAUUUGCAGAGUUAGCGCUAGCUAAAUGUUGCAAUUCUUCAGCCAUUCCUGAACCUGCAAACAAAAACAAGCUACAUAUGGACAGUACCAAAACAAAUGAUCUAAUGUUUAUGUCUCUUUGUAGCAACAUCUGCAUAGCUGGGAUGGUUGUAUCCCCCAUAUAUAUAACAUUCACUUAGUUGCAAGAAUAUUGCAUAAUAAUUAAAAUGGAAAAACUCUG